GAUGAACGCUGGCGGCGUGCCUAAUACAUGCAAGUCGAGCGAUCAGAUGAGGAGCUUGCUCCUCUGACGUUAGCGGCGGACGGGUGAGUAACACGUGGAUAACCUACCUAUAAGACUGGGAUAACUUCGGGAAACCGGAGCUAAUACCGGAUAAUAUAUUGAACCGCAUGGUUCAAUAGUGAAAGACGGUUUUGCUGUCACUUAUAGAUGGAUCCGCGCCGCAUUAGCUAGUUGGUAAGGUAACGGCUUACCAAGGCAACGAUGCGUAGCCGACCUGAGAGGGUGAUCGGCCACACUGGAACUGAGACACGGUCCAGACUCCUACGGGAGGCAGCAGUAGGGAAUCUUCCGCAAUGGGCGAAAGCUUGACGGAGCAACGCCGCGUGAGUGAUGAAGGUCUUCGGAUCGUAAAACUCUGUUAUUAGGGAAGAACAAAUGUGUAAGUAACUAUGCACGUCUUGACGGUACCUAAUCAGAAAGCCACGGCUAACUACGUG
rnacentral:rRNA from 1 species